rnacentral:tRNA from 1 species
GGGGCCGUGGCCCAAUUGGCAGAGGCACACGGUUUAGGUCCGUGACGGUGUGGGUUCGAGUCCCACCGGCCCCA